GAUAAACGCUGGCGGCGUGCAUGAGACAUGCAAGUCGAACGGACGAUCAGGGCUUGCUCUGAUCGUUAGUGGCGGACGGCUGAGUAACGCGUAGGUGACCUGCCCCGAAGUGGGGAGUAACUGCCCGAAAGGGUGGCUAAUACCGCAUGUGGUGGUUCGUUCAAUCGAACCAUCAAAGCAGCAAUGCGCGUUUGGGAGGGGCCUGCGUCCGAUUAGCUCGUUGGUGGGGAACGGCUCACCAAGGCGACGAUCGGUAGGUGGUCUGAGAGGACGAUCACCCAGACUGGGACUGAGACACGGCCCAGACUCCUACGGGAGGCAGCAGUCGGGAAUUUUGCGCAAUGGACGAAAGUCUGACGCAGCAACGCCGCGUGAGGGAUGAAGGCC
rnacentral:rRNA from 1 species